GGCAGAGGGGUGCUGCCAGGCUUGGAGCUGGGACGUAGCCCCUGGGCCGUCCUUUGUGAGUGCUCACAGGCACAGGCAUCGCUCCGAGAGAGGCCAGGCCCAGGGGAAGGCAGUCACCUGUCACUGUCCCCGUUGGUGGACCCUUGUGGGGGAGGGAGGCAGGCAAUUGGUCGCAAUGUCCAGCGAGACGUGUCCGUCCGUGCAGGGGACUCAGUGUGGCCACUGUGUGGUUGGUGGGUGGGAGCAUUGGGCUUUGCCAGCCCUGGACAGUCUGCAGGGGCCCCUCCCAGAUGGGCUCGGGAAGGAGUCCCCCUCCUCUGAGAGAGGACCGAGCCUGGUUUUACAUCUUCCUUUGGCUUUAAUCCACCUGUCACUUCCGGUCAGCGUCUUUCCCCAAGAAGGAGGCUCCCCUGUGAUCUGGCUUCCUUCCCACCUUCCUUCUCACACACGUGUCACAGUAGAGCCGCUGAAACUUUAGAGGGAGGGUUUGAAGAGUCAAGGACAGUUGCAAACUUCUUUAUUUUGCUCCAGAAGAAAAUGAGUGAGUUUUAGUUUCGCCUUUUUUUUUUUUUUUUAACUCCUGACAAGAACGAAUCUACUGAGCCAACAAGACUUGAAAGCCCUAACACUCUAGUUAAAAACAACUAACAGGGGACUUCCCUGGUGGUGCAGUGGUUAAGAAUCCGCCUGCCGAUGCAGGGGACACGGGUUCGAGCCCUGGUGCGGGAAGAUCCCACAUGCCGCGGAGCAACUAAGCCCCUGCGCCGCAACUACUGAGCCUGCGCUCUAGAGCCCGCGAGCCACAACGACUGAGCCCACGAGGCACAAGUACGGAAGCCCGCAUGCCUAGAGCCCGUGCUCCACAACAAGAGAAGCCACCGCAAUGAGAAGCCCGCGCACCGCAACAAAGAGUAGCCCCCGCGCACCGCAACUAGAGAAAGCCUGCGUGCAGCAACGAAGACCCAACGCAGCCAAAAAUAAAUAAAUAAAUUUAUUUAAAAGAAAACAAAAGCAACUAACAGACAAGACACCAGCGUGAGAGAGGGUGUGUGUGAUGAAAUGCUGGGGUUUGCAGCACGAGCUCCUUAACCCUCUCCGGGCCUCAGUCUCCUGGUCUGUCAUCGGCGGGUGGGACCAGGUGACCACCCAACCUACUUCCCUAGCAGCAGCCCUGGUCCCCAGGGUCCUGGAGGUCUGGGGACGGAGCCCUGGGGUUCUGGGUUAGCAGGAAGUGCCGGCUUUGCCAGGACCGCCACCUUCACGUUUGGUGGGCUGUCAGUGGGAGGAAGCCCAGUCCUCAGAACCCCUUGAAUUACGGAGCGGUUUGAACGUAUACAAGGUAAUCCUGUUUCCACUUCCCAACCUGAUCCUUCCACCUUUGUGAGAUCCGGACGGGUGAACUGGUUCCUGUUGUUCCGAUUUUAUUCGCAGGGGAGUCAGGCUAUGGAGAAGUGCAGGGGCUUGCCCGGGAGGUACCUCACAGGUAGACUGGGCAGAACUGGGUCCAGAGCCCAGUCAGCUCUGCGUGGGGUGUCGGGGGACACGAGGAGAAGGAGGAAGAGUCAGGACCUUGUCUCCUGCCCGGUGGGCGAGCGACAAGCGCUCCAGAGCCGGGAGGGAGGAGGGGCCCUGAAGGAGGCCGCCAAAACAAAGCCCUGGGCAGGUCGUCCAGGGCCUCUUCUGGUUGCAACUGCCUUUUGUCACCAGACUCCGCUGACAAAGGCAGCAGCCUUUCCCGUAGGUGGAUGAGGACCUCACCCCGCCCUAGGGUGGGGCUCAGCCUCCCCCGCCCAGGGCCCCGCCCUGGCAUGCCGCCACCAAAGACUUCCAGCCGCAGGAGAGCAAACUUAGCUGAAAAGGAAAAUCCAGUGGGGCAGAGGUGGGCGGAGGAGGUGGAGACGCAGCUGAGGAGGGGUGCAGCUUUGGGGGCUCUAGCAGGGGGCACCCCCCACACACACCUGCACAAGGGCGUGGCCCGGAGUGGGGGUGAAGACAGCCUCCUGGGUUUGUUCCGAAGCUCUGAGCUAGGCUGGGGAGAAGGGCGAGUGUGACUCCAGCGGGGCUGAAACGACACUAAAAGUCAGAAGCCUUACAGCGCUGGCUCUAGUUGGGGAAACGGAGAGGCUCAGAGAGGUGAGGUGACUGCCCAAGGCUGCACAGCCACUCAGGGUAGAACCAGGACUAGAACCCGACCUCUGGGGCCCCUGCCCUGUGCUCCUGGUCACACUGUCACAGGAGGGGACCCUGGCCACUGCAGGCAACAGAGUUUCAUCUGAUCUCUGCUGUCAGAGGUUUUACAAAAUCAUCACACCAACUAUUAUUUACUCAUUUUUACUAAACUUCCUUUUAAAUUUCAGUGCAUUCAUUUUGAAAAGAAACUUUGUAUCAGUAACUUGAGAGAAAAAAAAGUAUCCUUUGCCAUAAAAGAAGGCUUACCAUAAUUUAGAAUCAAUAACAAUAAAUAGAAUGGAAACAAAUCAUUGUUUAAUUCCAAGUGGGUAAAAAGGCUUUUUAUCUUUCUGCUCAGAAGGGAGGUUGGCAAAUGUUAAAGACACAUCCAGGUGGCUCCCCCUCCCCUCACCGGUGACUGCCCUGCGCCCAGCUGAAGGCCUUUGUGAAUGGAGCAUGUAGAUCUUUUCUUUUCUUUUUCUUUUUUUAAUAUUUAUUUAUUUAGGCCGCGCCGGGUCUUAGUGGUGGCAUGCGGGCUCUUCGUUGUGGCAUGUUUUUUGGUUUUUUCUUUUUAGUUGUGGCAUGCAAACUCUUAGGUGCGGCAUGCAUGCGGGAUCUAGUUCCCAACCAGGGAUGGGACCCGGGCCCCCUGCAUUGGGAGCGCAGUCUUACUCACUGGACCACCAGGGAAAUCCCUUGAAUGGAGCAUUUAAAGAUGAGGUUUCCGGCCAAGGUCUGUGGCCCUCUGUACUAACCCAGGGCCUGCCGGGCACCAAGCCCUGCAGGAUCAAUUGCUCCUGGGGAGGGUCGGUAGGAGACCCCAGGCUCUCCCGAUCUCCCCGCAGCCCUAAGCAGCUCUGGGAGGCCCACAGAGCUGGGGGGUGGGGGAGGCGUGGAGGGAGCUGGGGGGCUCGGGGCAGGCCCUCCUCCUCCCUCUGACUGCCCCCGAGGCUGGGAGGGAGGUGGCUCAGCUUCUAGAGCCCGAGAAGCUCAGGACGACUCGUCUCAGUGCAGAGACUCCGGGCUCGGCCUCAGUCGGCAGUCUUGACGUGAUGUCCUGAUUUCUCAGGGCAGCUUGUGUGCACCAGGAACGAGCAUGGGUGCAGGGCAUGGGGGCCCGCGCUCGCUCCUCCGUGCCUUCCCUCUCGAGACCCCCCCGGCCAGCCCUGCUGUGAUCACAGGCCGCCUCGCCCGUAGGCGUCUCUCGGGACAGAGGGCCUUCCAGCCGGGCUCUGUGGGCAGUAGAGCCUUAUCACGUGUCACACGGCCGGUCAGCUGCACUCUUCUUAAACAUUUCCCACCAUCGGCCAAAGAGGAAGAGCCGGCAUCUCUUAUGUCUGGGGCUCUGGGGAGGGGUUUCUAGGUGAGGGGCCAGCGAGUAGCCCGAGGUGGUAGUGGAGCCUGUCCUGCAGAAGCUCUGGGCCAUUUAGACUUCACUCAUGUCACCAGAGUCUGGUGGCCACGUGGCUGGAGGACGCACACCGGGAAGGUCAGAGCCCUGGGUCCUGGUUCAGGGUCUACCCCGUCUUAGCCUCAAGUUCUCCGAGCGUAAGAGGUGCUCUCAGAGAGAAUACAGAUGCUGCUGCCUGUCCCGGCGCCUCCUCGGCCAGGCGGGGGACGGAGGCCGUGAGGUCCCAGCAAGAGGUUGAAUGGGAGGGCUGUUUACAAACUGUGAAGUACCAGGCCUGCUAUGGGGUCCUUGGGAUAAGCUCAAGGCGCUUCCAAAGACCUACCCGCCUGAGUCCACCCCCAGCCAAGUGCUGUGUGUCCCACACAGGCAGGUGCGCACGUGGAGUGUGUGUGUGCACACGCACGCAGGCUCGUCCUCCAGUCGGGGCUGUGUCACCAAGCCCUGGAGGGUCCAGCCAGUCGUCCCUUCCUUCCUGUGAAAUGUUUGGCUGUCUCCUCAGUGGGAGUGGGUUUUUCACCAAGGAGCUCUUUGUUGGCCAAGGAAGAAUCUGCUCCUCACGAUGUUGCCGUCUUGCAGCGUCUGGCCCUCCUCUUAUGGCUGGCACGUGCCUCCUGGCUCAGGGCUCGGGCGGCAGUUCAGGGGCACCCCCAGUCUCCCUGCACAAGGUGGGGUGCCUGGCCCUGUGGGAUCUCCCUGACGCUCAGGAAGCUGGCACUCCCUCGAGGUUCCAGGAGCUCUUUCACGUGGGAACCUUGGAGGGGCCCUCACUUUGCCCUCCCCAGGAUGAACCAUCACGGGGAAGAAGGGGUCGACCUCUGGGUUCCAAAGUGACCACAGAACACAGGGCUCCUGGGGGGCAGAAGGACCGUGCCUCAGACACUCCUGAGCCCAUGAGAGAGGUGGCCGAGGUGCAGGGAUCCUUUGCCUCUUGGGACUGUUGAGAGCUGCCUCUGGAAGGCAGACACCUGCCAGGGGGUGCGUCCCAAAGUGAAGCCCAAGGUUUCCACGAAGAAAACCUGAGGUCCUUGUCCCACAGACCCAUCCUGGUGGGUCAGGAGCUGAGAAAAGCCCACGUCUCAGGUGUGCAGGGGGAGAGGUCCAAGAACAGAGUUUCAGGAAAUAGUUUCUCCCACAGAUUAGUGAUGAAACAGGGAGCAGGACGUGAAGGCAGAGCUGGAGCUGGGAGCUGGGUGCUAGAGCUGUGCUGGGUGCUGGAGCUGGGUGCCGGAGCUGGCAGCUGGGUGCUGGAGCUGGGAGCUGGGUGCUGGAGGUGGGUCCUGGAGCUGGGAGCUGGGUGCUGGAGCUGGGUGCUGGGGCUGGGAGCUGGGUGCUGGAGCUGGGUGCUGGAGCUGGGAGCUGGGUGCUAGAGCUGUGCUGGGUGCUGGAUAGGAUGCUGGAGCUGGGAGCUGGGUGCUGGAGCUGGGUGCUGGGGCUGGGAGCUGGG